CCAGAGAACUUAGCAGAGAUGCUUUGGUGCCUUCGGGAACUCUGAGACAGGUGCUGCAUGGCUGUCGUCAGCUCGUGUUGUGAAAUGUUGGGUUAAGUCCCGCAACGAGCGCAACCCUUAUCCUUUGUUGCCAGCGGCUCGGCCGGGAACUCAAAGGAGACUGCCGGUGAUAAACCGGAGGAAGGUGGGGAUGACGUCAAGUCAUCAUGGCCCUUACGGCCAGGGCUACACACGUGCUACAAUGGCGCAUACAAAGAGAAGCGACCUCGCGAGAGCAAGCGGACCUCAUAAAGUGCGUCGUAGUCCGGAUUGGAGUCUGCAACUCGACUCCAUGAAGUCGGAAUCGCUAGUAAUCGUAGAUCAGAAUGCUACGGUGAAUACGUUCCCGGGCCUUGUACACACCGCCCGUCACACCAUGGGAGUGGGUUGCAAAAGAAGUAGGUGGCUUAACCUUCGGGAGGGCGCUUACCACUUUGUGAUUCAUGACUGGGGUGAAGUCGUAACAAGGUAAGCGUAGCGAG
rnacentral:rRNA from 1 species